rnacentral:lncRNA from 1 species
UAUAACUAUAUAAGCGAAAAAACCUUUCUAUAACGAAAAAUGAAGCCAGCCUAAAUCGACUUCCUUCCAAACUCUUAUCACCUAACAUGCUACAUUUUCCAUUAAUCAAUUGGAUCCACAAAUGAAUCACGCACAUUAUAUCACUAGUUGUUUCCACUUGGGGUUGGUCCAGUGAUAUUGGCUUAGGUCCUUGGAGUAUGCUCCUCUCAAUGUCUCAGGUUUGAUUCCCUCUGAUGAUGUCAAUUUCGGUAAGCUAAGUGUUAUCCCAUAUUUUAGCUCAAGGUAAAAUAUGUUAUAAUCUUCAGUUCCAAAGACAUUUAUGGCUAUAAAAACCUGUUGAAAUGGCUUUAGGUAGCCUUAGUUUUUAAUGUCUUCAAAAACAAGAGAGAUUCUUUCUCUUAUCGUUUGAAUGAAGGUUAAGGGUAAUGUCUUCAAGAACAAGAGAAUUCUAAUGAAAAAAGCUUCAUAGCUCGAGACUGAAGAAUCUUUCGAUUAAAAGCCAAUGAAUCGAAGUAGUCAGGAAUUAUGGACUUAAGAGUAUUUUUCAUCAUUCAAGUGUGAUUCGACUUCGACGGUUACAACGGUUUAAAGGCCUUGGUUCAUUUCAAAUGCAAAAGGACGCGUGGCUGAAGUUUAGUAGUUUAACGUUAGGAUAGACGUUGCUUAGUUUUCUAUANNGAUGCCUUUAAAGAUAAACUUCCAAAUUUCCUUUAACAAAAUGCAUGAACAAUUGUCCCGAGAUUUACUAGUUGAUCUCUCAAGUAAUUAAUUUAAACUAGCGGUUGUUUACCAAAAAUCAGUGUAAACACUAAGUCCAUACAGAGCAAAAAAAACUCUGUCUUUAAAUGUGGCCCCGCAAGUGGGCGAUGAAUUGGUACCCUUGAAUUAAUCGGUCCUAGAGCCGAAUACCAAGUUUUCAAAAAAAAAAUCAAUAGAAAGAAAAUCCACAAAAGGUCAUCUUCAAGAAUCAAUUAUUACCAAGAAGCCUUGUUCAAAAAAAAUUAUUACUAAGAAGUUUCUGCAACAAAGUCAAUUAAGAGCUUGCUUAACUUUACAUUCGUCGAUUGCUGUUUUUACUUAUAAUAAGUCGAUUGGAGUUGGGGGUAGUGAGAGCAUAAUUGAUAUGGAAAAGGAAAUAGUGCAUUUAAUUUGCUCUAUUUUAUAAAUUGGAAUAUUAUUAUUAUUUGUAAUGAUUUGAUUGGUUGUGUCUAAGCAUUAAUUGUUAGGUGAGUGUUCACCUAAGAAUUUCUCCUAACUACAAGCAUGAGUUGCAUCGCAGAAAUUAUGAUUCAAAAUGGACAAAAAAAGAGAGAUUGGAACAAUUAAUACGUGAAUUUUACAUAUUCAAAUCUGGAUUAUAAUAUCCGUAUGUCUAAAAAAUAUGUGUAAAAUUGUGAAAAAAUAUAUGUAUAACAAUCCUGAAAACGCAUUUAGCCACAGUUUUAUCAUAGUUGGUUUAGUGGUGAUUGAUGCUGAACGUGGUGACCACAGUUCGAUCCUCCGCAA